AACUGUAACACAAUUGUGUUUCAUAUCAUUAAUUAUCAAGGAGUAUUAAUUAGGAAAUUUAUUAAAAAGGAAUUAAAUAAUUCAAUAACAAUCAUGUACACUUUGGACACUUUUAAAUAACGAUCUGUUCAAAUAUUAUAGACAAACCAUGUAUACCCUGCAGCCAAUAAAUGACCAUGUCUACUGUGAAAUAACAUGUAUCCUUCAGGGUUUGACAAUUAACCAUAGACUAGAAUUAUUUAACAUCCAGACGAAUACGUAACCGGCCAUUAGCUAUGGGCCAAUGUUUAUGGACAACUGGACUAUAUAAGAUCCAGCUUUGGACUUGAAGGAGGACAGCUUGGUACAAGAGAUUGGUACCGGAGAUUCCGCCAAGGUCUCCCCCUUCGCGGGUAGGCUGGAACUAAUGUGCUUAAUAUCCGAAAUACUCUAACAGGAACGAACAGUUAUAACACUAUACGAUCACGUGCCCGUGUGAGAUAUUGAACAUUCGAAC
rnacentral:lncRNA from 1 species